UACGUAGGGUGCGAGCGUUAAUCGGAAUUACUGGGCGUAAAGCGUGCGUAGGCGGUUCGUUAUGUCUGCUGUGAAAUCCCCGGGCUCAACCUGGGAAUGGCAGUGGAAACGGGCGGGCUUGAGUGUGGCAGAGGGGGGUGGAAUUCCGCGUGUAGCAGUGAAAUGCGUAGAGAUGCGGAGGAACACCGAUGGCGAAGGCAGCCCCCUGGGCUAACACUGACGCUGAGGCACGAAAGCGUGGGGAGCAAACAGG
rnacentral:rRNA from 1 species